rnacentral:rRNA from 1 species
AUACGGAGGGUGCAAGCGUUGUUCGGAAUCACUGGGCGUAAAGCGCGCGCAGGCGGCUAUUUAAGUUGGAUGUGAAAGCCUACGGCUCAACCGUAGAACUGCAUCCAAAACUAUUUAGCUAGAGUGUGGGAGAGGAAGAUGGAAUUAGUUGUGUAGGGGUAAAAUCCGUAGAGAUAACUAGGAAUACCAAAAGCGAAGGCAAUCUUCUGGAACACUACUGACGCUGAGGCGCGAAAGCGUGGGGAGCAAACAGGAUUAGAAACCCUAGUAGUCC